GUUCUGCUUUGUGACUGGGACCACUUCUGAUUAGAAGAGCAGGAAGGAAAGAAAUAUAGAAAAAGAAAUUGCUUGAUACAACAGGCUGAAUUCAAGACUAGUGUUCAUCUCCAAGAGUCACAGAAUACCAAAUAUAUCUGACUCCAUCUGGGUGAUGAGGAACAUGAAGAGUGAACACCAAUGUAUUUCCAGACUCUGCCCUGCAGGAGAACCAGCAAUGCCAUUUUAUUACACUUUUUUUUUUAAUCAUCUGCCAGAACAACCUACCAAGUUAAGAGGAAAAUUGACUUUGCCACACGAGGAAAGUCAUCAGCACAUUGAUGGCAGCUUGCCUGCAGGCUGUACUUGGAGCCCAGACUGGACCAUUGAUGAAAGGAGAAGAUUGGUGAUGUUGUACAGUGACCAGGAAUGCUGGCUCAUGCGGCAUUCCUGAGGAAAUCAGAGGCACCGAGAAGACAACUGGGGGAAUGCACAUAAAAGCUCUCAAGGGCACAGCACGUGAAGCAAUGCAAGAACCAAGAGAGUCAGUGGCAAUGAAACCCAUGUUCAUUGAAACCUGAGGAACUCUCCAACAACUCUUAAACUGUGAUUCAAAUAUCACUUGUGGUUUAUGAAUUAUGGUAAAAUUUCAAGGUUGAAGUAAAAAGCUGUACGGAUAGAAAAUUGCAAAGAUGUUACUUAACUGUUUGCAAGUUGUGAUGCAGUAGCUAUUAUAACUGGAAAGCUGUUGCAAAGAUGGAGGCCUGGUGAAAU